rnacentral:tRNA from 1 species
GGGUCUAUAGCUCAGCCCGGUAGAGCACCGGACUUUUAAUCCGAUGGCCGAAGGUUCGAAUCCUUCUGGACCCA